rnacentral:lncRNA from 1 species
AGCCAUUCAAGGGCUUCCUUCACUGCAGUUUCAAUCUUCUCCUUCUCAUCAGACUCAAGCUUGUCAGCAAGCUUGUCCUUGUCGUUAAUUUGAUUCUUCAUGUUGUAAGUGUAGGUUUCAAGGCUGUUACGGGCAUCAAUUUUCUCCUUGACCUUCUUGUCUUCCUCAGCGAACUCCUCGGCCUCCUUAACCAUGCGUUCAAUCUCCUCCUGGCUGAGGCGUCCCUUGUCGUUGGUGAUGGUGAUCUUCUCGGAUUUACCAGUGCCCUUGUCCUCUGCCUUGACAUUCAGGAUACCA